GGGACACGUGGUAUCCUGUCUGAAUAUGGGGGGACCAUCCUCCAAGGCUAAAUACUCCUGACUGACCGAUAGUGAACCAGUACCGUGAGGGAAAGGCGAAAAGAACCCCGGCGAGGGGAGUGAAAAAGAACCUGAAACCGUGUACGUACAAGCAGUGGGAGCACCUUCGGGUGUGACUGCGUACCUUUUGUAUAAUGGGUCAGCGACUUAUAUUCUGUAGCAAGGUUAACCGUAUAGGGGAGCCGCAGGGAAACCGAGUCUUAACUGGGCGUUAAGUUGCAGGGUAUAGACCCGAAACCCGGUGAUCUAGCCAUGGGCAGGUUGAAGGUUGGGUAACACUAACUGGAGGACCGAACCGACUAAUGUUGAAAAAUUAGCGGAUGACUUGUGGCUGGGGGUGAAAGGCCAAUCAAACCGGGAGAUAGCUGGUUCUCCCCGAAAGCUAUUUAGGUAGCGCCUCGUGAACUCAUCUUCGGGGGUAGAGCACUGUUUCGGCUAGGGGGUCAUCCCGACUUACCAACCCGAUGCAAACUACGAAUACCGAAGAAUGUUAUCACGGGAGACACACGGCGGGUGCUAACGUCCGUCGUGAAGAGGGAAACAACCCAGACCGCCAGCUAAGGUCCCAAAGUCAUGGUUAAGUGGGAAACGAUGUGGGAAGGCACAGACAGCCAGGAUGUUGGCUUAGAAGCAGCCAUCAUUUAAAGAAAGCGUAAUAGCUCACUGGUCGAGUCGGCCUGCGCGGAAGAUGUAACGGGGCUAAACCAUGCACCGAAGCUGCGGCAGCGACACUAUGUGUUGUUGGGUAGGGGAGCGUUCUGUAAGCCUGCGAAGGUGACCUGUGAGGGUUGCUGGAGGUAUCAGAAGUGCGAAUGCUGACAUAAGUAACGAUAAAGCGGGUGAAAAGCCCGCUCGCCGGAAGACCAAGGGUUCCUGUCCAACGUUAAUCGGGGCAGGGUGAGUCGACCCCUAAGGCGAGGCCGAAAGGCGUAGUCGAUGGGAAACAGGUUAAUAUUCCUGUACUUGGUGUUACUGCGAAGGGGGGACGGAGAAGGCUAUGUUAGCCGGGCGACGGUUGUCCCGGUUUAAGCAUGUAGGCUGGUUAUCCAGGCAAAUCCGGAUAAUCAAGGCUGAGGUGUGAUGACGAGGCACUACGGUGCUGAAGUAACAAAUGCCCUGCUUCCAGGAAAAGCCUCUAAGCAUCAGGUAACAUCAAAUCGUACCCCAAACCGACACAGGUGGUCAGGUAGAGAAUACCAAGGCGCUUGAGAGAACUCGGGUGAAGGAACUAGGCAAAAUGGUGCCGUAACUUCGGGAGAAGGCACGCUGGUGUGUAGGUGAAGUCCCUGCGGAUGGAGCUGAGACCAGUCGAAGAUACCAGCUGGCUGCAACUGUUUAUUAAAAACACAGCACUGUGCAAACACGAAAGUGGACGUAUACGGUGUGACGCCUGCCCGGUGCCGGAAGGUUAAUUGAUGGGGUUAUCCGUAAGGAGAAGCUCUUGAUCGAAGCCCCGGUAAACGGCGGCCGUAACUAUAACGGUCCUAAGGUAGCGAAAUUCCUUGUCGGGUAAGUUCCGACCUGCACGAAUGGCGUAAUGAUGGCCAGGCUGUCUCCACCCGAGACUCAGUGAAAUUGAACUCGCUGUGAAGAUGCAGUGUACCCGCGGCAAGACGGAAAGACCCCGUGAACCUUUACUAUAGCUUGACACUGAACAUUGAGCCUUGAUGUGUAGGAUAGGUGGGAGGCUUUGAAGCGUGGACGCCAGUCUGCGUGGAGCCAACCUUGAAAUACCACCCUUUAAUGUUUGAUGUUCUAACGUUGGCCCCUGACCGGGGUUGCGGACAGUGUCUGGUGGGUAGUUUGACUGGGGCGGUCUCCUCCCAAAGCGUAACGGAGGAGCACGAAGGUUAGCUAAUCCUGGUCGGACAUCAGGAGGUUAGUGCAAUGGCAUAAGCUAGCUUGACUGCGAGCGUGACGGCGCGAGCAGGUGCGAAAGCAGGUCAUAGUGAUCCGGUGGUUCUGAAUGGAAGGGCCAUCGCUCAACGGAUAAAAGGUACUCCGGGGAUAACAGGCUGAUACCGCCCAAGAGUUCAUAUCGACGGCGGUGUUUGGCACCUCGAUGUCGGCUCAUCACAUCCUGGGGCUGAAGUAGGUCCCAAGGGUAUGGCUGUUCGCCAUUUAAAGUGGUACGCGAGCUGGGUUUAGAACGUCGUGAGACAGUUCGGUCCCUAUCUGCCGUGGGCGCUGGAGAAUUGAGGGGGGCUGCUCCUAGUACGAGAGGACCGGAGUGGACGCAUCACUGGUGUUCGGGUUGUCAUGCCAAUGGCACUGCCCGGUAGCUAAAUGCGGAAGAGAUAAGUGCUGAAAGCAUCUAAGCACGAAACUUGCCCCGAGAUGAGUUCUCCCUGAGACUU
rnacentral:rRNA from 1 species